AUACGGAGGGACCAAGCGUUGUUCGGAAUCAUUGGGCGUAAAGCGCGUGUAGGCGGCUUGGUAAGUCGGGUGUGAAAGCCCGGGGCUCAACCCCGGAAUUGCAUUCGAAACUGCUUGGCUAGAGUCUCGGAGAGGAAGGCAGAAUUCCCGGUGUAGGGGUGAAAUCCGUAGAUAUCGGGAGGAAUACCAGUGGCGAAGGCGGCCUUCUGGACGAUGACUGACGCUGAGACGCGAAAGCGUGGGGAGCAAACAGGAUUAGAAACCCCAGUAGUCC
rnacentral:rRNA from 1 species